ACACCACGUUGAAACACCGGAUCCUUUACUAUCACCGAAGUUAAGCAACAUCGAGCCUGGUCAGUACGUAGAUGGUUGACCGCUUGGAAAUACCAGGUGCUGUAA